AAAACAAAACUUCCCAACCCUCGGUCGACCCCGGCCUCCACCAUACCGCAUCCGCCGCCCGCCGCCCUCCACCCUGCCGCGGAGCCGAACGCCGCCGCCGCUCGCAGCAUGCCGUAGAACCGGCCGCCGGAAGCGCGGGCCGCGGAGCCGACCGCCGCCGCCGCUCGCAGCGCGCCUCAGAUCCGGCCGCCAGAGGUCCACGCGCCGGCGUGCCGCGCAGCGGCAGGCCCCGACGCACCAAACCCUAAAGAGCUGGCCCCGCCGGCGCCGCCCUGGGGAUGGCGCCACACCACAUCGCCGCCUCCUCUCCGCCUCUCGCCUCCUCCCCACGCAUGCCCAUGCUCCACUCCGCCUCGUGAUCGGACCGGCGCGGAUCUUCUUGGAGAUUUGGGGGGUAGUUUGGUUUUGUUGCUAUUUUCGGAACGCCACGAAGCCGGCCGCCGGACAACGCCCGCCGCACGCCUGCGGCUGACGGCGCGGCCGCUGCGCCGGGCCGCCGCCGUCUGCCCCAACGCCCGCCGCCAACUCUAUAUCCUCAAGCGCCGGCGGCAUUGGAGAUCCGCAUGCGGGAGGCCACGGAGAGGGCGAGCAUGGCAUGGCUGGGGCGACCUCCAAUCCCUGCCGAGGCUUUCUUGGAUUUCCCUCCCUGUGCGUGGAUGAACUGUCGUUGGUUUUCCCAUGUAGUUGGCGCAGCUUCUUGAUUGAUUCUUGGUGAAACCCGGUUUGUGCCUGGUUGAGUCGGAACUGUGUCCCCAGAUUCUUGGUUUCAAAAACCUAGGUUCUUGAUUGAUUAGCCUUUUCCCAUGAGUGGCGUUAAGAUUGUGUGGCCCGUGGUGGAAAUUCCUGUUUAUUUGGAGUUGAAUCAGGAACAAAUUUUUAGUUAUGGAACCAUAGCCCUUCGAUUCGAUUUAGGGAUCAAGGCCGAGGUUCUGGUGGCUUGCAGUCGCAGACCACUUUGUGUUGGUGUUUUUUUUCCUAGAUUGGUUUGGUCGUUAUCCCCAAGAUUGCAUGUUCUGCUGCAAUAAAUAGUUUUAACAUUUAGGCCAUUUCUAGCUGAACUGAGAUGGUGAUCUCGCAAUUGCAUUAUAAUUAGGCUCUCCAGUUGAUUCACAUAUUCUUUCUUAUGAGAUUGGCUUGAUAAAUGAAGCAUGAAUCUACUAUUAUUGGUGGUUUGUUCGUGUGCCAGUGUCAUCAGUCAUCACUAUUGGUGGUUUUUCAUUGGUACACCACAAGUUCAUACAGAAUCUGAUAGCGAAGUGAGAGAAAAGAGGGGGAGGGGUGGUAACCGGAGCAGGUUUCAGAAAGAGCACCUAGCAGACUGACAUUCAGCCCAACUAAGCCCCUUGAUUGAAACAUAAGCAGAUUUAAGAAAGACCACCUAGCAGACUGACAUUCACCCCCAUUGCCUAUGUGGGUCACAUAAUCAGUAAUUGAACACUAGGCACCACUGUUGCUUGGCUAGCUCAUUUUUUUAAUUCUGAAAUAUAUCACCAUUGGUGUUCUACAUGCAUGUGAAUACAUGGUAUUUAAUUUCAUAAAAUUUCAAGAGCUACCAUUUUGCUUACACUGGUGCAUAAUUGUUACAAUUGUUACAUACAUGAUUUGUCAAGUGCUUGAUUAUCUAAGGUCUAUGUAGGGAAUGUGCUGCAUUACCAGAAGAUGGAAUCCGUAUGCAAUGUUGCCUCAAUUCAGUGUAUUUUUCUCUGCUGCAGUGCUUAAAAUUUUUGUAUGGAGAGCUUUCUCGAAAUUGAGCAGUUUGGAGAGUCUCAUUCUACCAUAAAUCGGCUCCUAGGAGCAUUGUCCUAAAAGAAAAGCAAAUGCAUCUGCCAACCGUGUCGCAGGUGCGCCCCCGAGAUCCAACAGCUACGCAUCCUCCCUGCCAUCUGACGUUGCUGACGGAGUUCUUGGUUCAAAUCUUUUAUGAAUUCAGUUAGAUGCAGCAAAAGAUUACACUCAACCGUACUCUGAACAGCUAUAAAAAGAGUUCAGUAAAGUAGUGAUGAGAAGAUGAGACCUGCACUAAAAUAUUCUUAAUUGUUGAAGUUUACAGGGUCCAAGAGCAGAACACGGGUUGUGACAUGGGCCACAUGAAUAUGAGGAAGACAUUGACAGUUCACCCUUGACUUCAGUUAGAUGCAGUAAGAUAACUUCUAUAUUGUGCUAUUUUUCUAAUGCUCUGUGAACAAAUGCCAAUCAUAGAUAUAUAGUGGUUCUUUCAUUUUGCAGUGAUCAAGACAUGCUUAAUUCUUGAAACUGGAUAGCUGCAUGUAUUAACCAGCUAAUCUUUGUUUUUUUUGUCCCAAAGUGUUCCGGCAUCUAUAGUAUUAUUAAGAAUACUGCAUUUGGGCCUCCAAGUAUAGUCUGCAAUUUUAAAAUGAAACAUAAACUUAAAAUUAUUCUGUACCAUUUGCUUUCAUGAUUUAGAGCUGAGAGAAUGGCAAGCCGAGAAAAUAUUUGUGGCUUGUUAUGGUUGACAUGCAAUUCCAAAGUUGUAAAUACAGUUAGGGACUGUAUUUUUUCUUGGUUAUAUUUCUUACCAUUACUUCUUAGUUCUUACCUUGGAGAGUUGGAAUUGAAUUACAAGUAUAGCCACUGAGAUACAUAGGUCAGUAGUAUCAAACUUGAAUGUCUGUAUACUUCUCUAAAUGCACACAGAUAGCCAGCAUUUACAAAGAUUAUCCAAAGACAAGAAAUUAAUAAUGCCUUUUACUAAAUGUUCAAGUGCAUAUGUGCGUGAUCUCCAUUCUGCCCUUAUAUAGAUCUGAUAGCUGAGAUUAUUAAAUGCUGGUCUGAUGAAUGAAAAAAAAAAUCUUAUUAUGAAGUUAUUUGUUUGUUGUAGUGGGGUACUUUCUUAUUUGUGCUGGUGAAAAAUUGUUCAUUGGAGUAGCAUGGGAUGGUCAUCAAGGAGAAAUAUGUCAUGGUGCUAUCUAAUAUUCUCUUAUGGAUAUCAUAUCAAAAGUUGGAAUGAUAUGUUUGUUUUGAAAGUUAGGCGCUUGACCAUCACAGCCCUGUAUGCAUUCUUUCUGAGUAUAAUUAUGUGAUGUUGAGUAUAA